rnacentral:rRNA from 1 species
CCUGGCGGCCUUAGCGCGGUGGUCCCACCUGACCCCAUGCCGAACUCAGAAGUGAAACGCCGUAGCGCCGAUGGGAGUGUGGUGUCACCCCAUGCGAGAGUAGAGAACUGCCAGAC